GACGAACGCUGGCGGCGUGCUUAACACAUGCAAGUCGAACGGAAAGGCCCUGCUUUUGUGGGGUGCUCGAGUGGCGAACGGGUGAGUAACACGUGAGUAACCUGCCCUUGACUUUGGGAUAACUUCAGGAAACUGGGGCUAAUACCGGAUAGGAGCUCCUGCUGCAUGGUGGGGGUUGGAAAGUUUCGGCGGUUGGGGAUGGACUCGCGGCUUAUCAGCUUGUUGGUGGGGUAGUGGCUUACCAAGGCUUUGACGGGUAGCCGGCCUGAGAGGGUGACCGGCCACAUUGGGACUGAGAUACGGCCCAGACUCCUACGGGAGGCAGCAGUGGGGAAUAUUGCACAAUGAGCGGAAGCCUGAUGCAGCAACGCCGCGUGCGGGAUGACGGCCUUCGGGUUGUAAACCGCUUUCGCCUGUGACGAAGCGUGAGUGACGGUAAUGUGUAAAGAAGCACCGGCUAACUACGUG
rnacentral:rRNA from 1 species